GAUGAAGAACGUAGCGAAAUGCGAUAAGUAAUGUGAAUUGCAGAGUUCAGUGAAUCAUCGAAUCUUUGAACGCACAUUGCGCCUGCCAGCACUCUGGCAGGCAUGCCUGUUCGAGCGUCAUUUCAACCAUCAAGCCCUAGGCUUGCGUUGGAGCCCUGCGGCUGCCGCAGGCCCCUAAAAGCAGUGGCGGGCUCGCUAUCACACCGAGUGCAGUAGAUUACUCUUCGCUCAGGGCGUGUGGCGGGUUCCAGCCGUGAAACCCCCUACUUCUCAAGGUUGACCUCGGAUCAGGUAGGAAUACCCGCUGAACUUAAGCAUAUCAAUAAGCGGAGGA
rnacentral:misc_RNA from 1 species